rnacentral:rRNA from 1 species
CCUACGGGAGGCAGCAGUGGGGAAUUUUGGACAAUGGGGGAAACCCUGAUCCAGCAAUGCCGCGUGUGCGAAGAAGGCCUUCGGGUUGUAAAGCACUUUUAUUCGGAGAGAAAUCCCUUGGGCUAAUACCCUGAGGGUCUGACGGUACCGGAUGAAUAAGCGCCGGCUAACUACGUGCCAGCAGCCGCGGUAAUACGUAGGGCGCGAGCGUUAAUCGGAAUUACUGGGCGUAAAGCGUGCGCAGGCGGUUUUGUAAGACAGAUGUGAAAGCCCCGGGCUCAACCUGGGAAUUGCAUUUGUGACUGCAAGGCUAGAGUGUGUCAGAGGGAGGUGGAAUUCCGCGUGUAGCAGUGAAAUGCGUAGAGAUGCGGAGGAACACCGAUGGCGAAGGCAGCCUCCUGGGAUAACACUGACGCUCAUGCACGAAAGCGUGGGGAGCAAACAGGAUUAGAUACCCUGGUAGUCCACGCCCUAAACGAUGUCAACUAGUUGUCGGGAAUUAAAUUUCUUGGUAACGCAGCUAACGCGUGAAGUUGACCGCCUGGGGAGUACGGCCGCAAGGUUAAAACUUAAGAUAGUCGCGNGNGAGNGCGACGACGACGACGAGGAGGAG